rnacentral:rRNA from 1 species
UACGUAGGCAGCGAGCGUUGUUCGGAGUUACUGGGCGUAAAGGGUGGGUAGGCGGUUCUUUAAGUUUGGUGUGAAAUCUCCCGGCUCAACCGGGAGGGUGCGCCGAAUACUGAGGGACUCGAGUGCGGGAGAGGAAAGUGGAAUUCCUGGUGUAGCGGUGAAAUGCGUAGAUAUCAGGAGGAACACCGGUGGUGUAGACGGCUUUCUGGACCGUAACUGACGCUGAGACACGAAAGCGUGGGUAGCAAACAGG